rnacentral:rRNA from 1 species
GACGAACGCUGGCGGCGUGCCUAAUACAUGCAAGUCGAGCGAAUCUGAUGGGAGCUUGCUCCUUGAUGAUUAGCGGCGGACGGGUGAGUAACACGUGGGUAACCUGCCUGUAAGACUGGGAUAACUCCGGGAAACCGGGGCUAAUACCGGAUAACUUUUUUCUUCGCAUGAGGGAGAAUUGAAAGAUGGCUUCGGCUAUCACUUACAGAUGGACCCGCGGCGCAUUAGCUAGUUGGUGAGGUAACGGCUCACCAAGGCGACGAUGCGUAGCCGACUUGAGAGGGUGAUCGGCCACGCUGGGACUGAGACACGGCCCAGACUCCUACGGGAGGCAGCAGUAGGGAAUCUUCCGCAAUGGACGAAAGUCUGACGGAGCAACGCCGCGUGAGUGAUGAAGGUUUUCGGAUCGUAAAACUCUGUUGUUAGGGAAGAACAAGUAUCGUUCGAAUAGGGCGGUACCUUGACGGUACCUAACCAGAAAGCCACGGCUAACUACGUG